rnacentral:rRNA from 1 species
UGCAGUCGAACGGUGAAGCAGAGCUUGCUCUGUGGAUCAGUGGCGAACGGGUGAGUAACACGUGAGCAAUCUGCCCCUGACUCUGGGAUAAGCGCUGGAAACGGCGUCUAAUACCGGAUACGAGCUGCGAUCGCAUGGUCAGUAGCUGGAAAGAAUUUCGGUCAGGGAUGAGCUCGCGGCCUAUCAGCUUGUUGGUGAGGUAAUGGCUCACCAAGGCGUCGACGGGUAGCCGGCCUGAGAGGGUGACCGGCCACACUGGGACUGAGACACGGCCCAGACUCCUACGGGAGGCAGCAGUGGGGAAUAUUGCACAAUGGGCGGAAGCCUGAUGCAGCAACGCCGCGUGAGGGAUGACGGCCUUCGGGUUGUAAACCUCUUUUAGCAGGGAAGAAGCGAAAGUGACGGUACCUGCAGAAAAAGCGCCGGCUAACUACGUGCCAGCAGCCGCGGUAAUACGUAGGGCGCAAGCGUUAUCCGGAAUUAUUGGGCGUAAAGAGCUCGUAGGCGGUCUGUCGCGUCUGCUGUGAAAACCCGAGGCUCAACCUCGGGCCUGCAGUGGGUACGGGCAGACUAGAGUGCGGUAGGGGAGAUUGGAAUUCCUGGUGUAGCGGUGGAAUGCGCAGAUAUCAGGAGGAACACCGAUGGCGAAGGCAGAUCUCUGGGCCGUAACUGACGCUGAGGAGCGAAAGGGUGGGGAGCAAACAGGCUUAGAUACCCUGGUAGUCCACCCCGUAAACGUUGGGAACUAGUUGUGGGGUCCAUUCCACGGAUUCCGUGACGCAGCUAACGCAUUAAGUUCCCCGCCUGGGGAGUACGGCCGCAAGGCUAAAACUCAAAGGAAUUGACGGGGACCCGCACAAGCGGCGGAGCAUGCGGAUUAAUUCGAUGCAACGCGAAGAACCUUACCAAGGCUUGACAUAUAGAGGAAACGGCUGGAAACAGUCGCCCCGCAAGGUCUCUAUACAGGUGGUGCAUGGUUGUCGUCAGCUCGUGUCGUGAGAUGUUGGGUUAAGUCCCGCAACGAGCGCAACCCUCGUUCUAUGUUGCCAGCACGUAAUGGUGGGAACUCAUGGGAUACUGCCGGGGUCACUCGGAGGAAGGUGGGGAUGACGUCAAUCAUCAUGCCCCUUAUGUCUUGGGCUUCCGCAUGCUACAUGGCCGGUAAAAGGG